GUGCUCAUACAGCAGAUACCGGCUCAGGAUCUCCGGGUUGUAACCGGCAGGUCCCCCGUUCAAAUCGGGGCGGGCGGACCA
rnacentral:tRNA from 1 species